CUAUAGCCACACGUCCAAGGGUUGAGUGUGACAAUCGCCCAAGUUAAAAAUUAUUUAUCAUGGAGCAUUUUUUGUCAUUUAUUAAAAUUUCAUGUUCAUUUUUCUCCAUACAGGAGUCCUGUAACAGGACAGGACCGAAUGAAAUAAUGAUAAAAAUGCUGCAACAGAGACACAGGAUUGCUGAAUUUCCAUGUAAUAUCCAGAAUAAACGUCUCUAUCUUCGAUCGAUCUACUUAUCUGUAAAGCUGCUGAUACGAGAAAAAGGGUGUGGGACAUCAAUGAAUAAACUCAAAAACAUCCAAUAAGUUGAUCUGGUGUUGUCUUGGACUUGACGAACAUCGUACAUUCCGUUGAACAAAGUAACAUGAUCUGCAGUAUUCUUGGUCACCAUUGGAUUAAAUACAAUGAAGAUUGUUGAAAUAUCUCCUGAUUUCUUGAUGUAUGCACAUUGAACAAUGAACAAAAUGCAACCCAAAUGAUUGAAGAAUAACUACAAGUCCUUUGAAUUUUGCUCCAUCUACAUCUACACCAUGGAAUUUCUCAACGAUGUGAAAGUAAAGCUGCAUAAUUGUAUUAAACAGGACAGCACAACGAUAUGUAUCUACCAAAAAAAAAACUGUGCAACAUUCUGCUUUUUUCAUGGAUUUUGAUCAUCUUGAGACUCCAAAUCAAAGAAUAACUAAACUGCAGCUUUUUUUUGGUUUUAUCCACAUACUACAUCUAAGAUAAGAUGAAAUGAAAAUAAUUUAAUGAAUAGUUUAUUCCUGAAAACUGCCCUACAACUCUUCUCUUCUAAAUCGAAAGAUAUGCUAUCCACGAAGAAAGGUUUCGUGGUUGGAUAAGGAUUAUGUGACCACGGAAUAAAUUAAUAGAUUCGUCAAGCCUAAAAUGGUGUACUUAGAGGAAACAAGUGCUGGCACAAGGACAAAAUUAUAAGAUUUAAUACCAAAACAAUGGGGCUGAGCCGAGUACUGGCUGGAGAAAAUUAUAAUAGCAGAAGAUAAUAAUAUGAUAUGUGGGGACAUGUCACACACCGACAGAUACAUCAACACCAAUGUCCAUAUGCGAUACCUCCAAUGUUACCAGAGAAUAAGUGUGCAAGUCUUCUGUGGGGUAUUCUUCUUUGCUUUUACAUUGCAAAUAAGGUAAAUUUAGCUGCUCACCGACAACGACAUUGUGUUAAAUAUUAUAUAAUUAAUUUAAGCGUAAAUAAUGUCAUUUUUAAUAUUACUUCAUAAUAAAACACGAUCGUAUCGAUCAAAUAAUGUAUUAUCAAUUUAUGGUUAACCAUAUCCUCUUCCUUUUCGAUAGGGUCCUGUACAAACAUAGUAUUUGAGCAUCGCACUCAAGGACCUACAAUAUUACCUAGUAGUCCUGUGCCCGCAUUAAUUUAGUAAAAUAUGCAUUACAUAGUGGUUGUUCAGUUGGAUUUUUUAGUAUCUUCAAGUCCUACAUCUUGGAAAAUUAAGGGGCUGUAUCCUGAAGAACUUACACGUUUGAAAGAUCGACUUACUAAACUAAAAGUUAUGUUUAGCACGACUGAUGACUUCUUCGAAAUUGAUAUGGCUGGUGUCGAUGUACUAAACAUGCUAGCUGAUGAAAAUUACAGAAUAAUCGGACAAUCAAUGGUGAUUGAAAAGUCUACUGUUGGAGGUGGUAUUGUCCAAGUCGAAAAAACUUCUUGGACUCUAGAAAAGCAAUAAGUAAUACCCGCAAAGAAAGGUAGUAACAAUUUAUUGUAUGAACAAACAAUUUAGAUUGUAUUUUACAAUAAAUUAUAAUACAUGGAGAAAUAGAAAA